rnacentral:sRNA from 1 species
GCCAGGCAUGGUGGUGUAUGCCUGUAAUCCCAGCAACUUGCGAGGCAGAGGCAAGAGGAUAGAGUUAAAAGCCAGCCUCAGCAAUUUAUCAAUUAAGCAACUCAGUAAGACCCUGUCUCUA